rnacentral:lncRNA from 1 species
AGUGGUCGAUGUAAAAGGUGCGACUGAUCUUAUCCAUUUCAUGCGGACACGUGUCGCACUGGGGAAAGCUUCUCAGUGAUGUGAUAUACUGUAUUUGUUUUCUUUUAUCAUUAAGUCUUUUCAUUUAUUGCUCUAAAUACCAUAAACAGCUAAUUCAAUUGAUACCACCAGCCUUGGGCAUUCGGAUAUUCAGUUCGGUUUCGGAUAAAAACCAUUCGGUUCCGAGUAUAUAUCGAAUAAAUCAUUUUUAUACCCAAUAAAUAUUUAUGAGAUUUUAGUUAGGUUUCGGUUCGGUUUCAGAUACCCGUUUAAUAUAUAUAUACUCCCUCCGUUCCUAAAAGAUGUAUGUUAUGGAAAAAAAAAUUGUUUCAAAAAGAUACAUUUUUUA